rnacentral:lncRNA from 10 species
AGUCACAGCCUCAGCCGCAGCGGCCGUGCUACCUAGGUGAUAGCGGAGCGGCUGGGUAGGAAGCAAUUGUUCUCAAACUUCACUAGCCCCGUCGGCGCGGACGCUUGUCGAGAAUGCAGAUUCCUGGGCUAGGAAUUAUCUGUGAAUGUAGGACCACUGGAUUUGCAGUCUUCAUCUGACACUGUGGAGAGUUUCUAGGAAUGAAACAGAUAUAUGGCCUUGGGUCCCCUUUUUUUUUCUUUUUUUUUUUUUUAAUAGAGACGAGCAUCUCACUAUGUUGCCUAGGGUAGUCUUGAACUCCUGGCCUCAAGCAAUCCCCACCCGACUCCGCCUCUCGAAGUGAUGGGAUUACAGGCAUAAACCACCACGCCUGGCCAGAAGGUGCUUUA